UACGGAGGGUGCAAGCGUUACCCGGAAUCACUGGGCGUAAAGGGCGCGUAGGCGGCCUCUCAAGUCUGGUUUUAAAGACCGAAGCUCAACUUCGGGCAUGGACUGGAUACUAGGAGGCUAGACGACUGGAGGGGCGGGUGGAAUUCUCGGUGUAGCGGUGGAAUGCGUAGAUACCGAGAGGAACACCAGUGGCGAAGGCGGCCCGCUGGACAGUGCGUGACGCUGAGGCGCGAAAGUGUGGGGAGCGAACCGG
rnacentral:rRNA from 1 species